rnacentral:ncRNA from 2 species
AUAUUUUCAAAAGCGAUAGGUGCUAAUGGCAAGAGGAUAUUUCUGCCUUAGCUUAAAAGGGAAGCUCGGUGAAAAUCCGACGCGGUCGCGCCACUGUAAUGGGGAGAAUUCUAUAAAGACCCACUGUUUUUUAAAUGAAAAAUGGGAAGGGAAUAGAAUACAAUGAACCUGAGUCAGGAGACCUGCCUAUCGUAUGCACUUUAU